rnacentral:rRNA from 1 species
AUUGAACGCUGGCGGCAGGCCUAACACAUGCAAGUCGAGCGGAGCGGCGGACGGGUGAGUAAUGCCCAGGAAUCUGCCUGGUAGUGGGGGAUAGCGUCCGGUAACGGGAGCUAAUACCACAUACUAUUAGAUGAGCCUAGGUCGGAUUAGCGAGGUGGUGGGGUAAAGGCCUACCAAGGCGACGAUCCGUAGCUGGUCUGAGAGGAUGAUCAGUCACACUGGAACUGAGACACGGUCCAGACUCCUACGGGAGGCAGCAGUGGGGAAUAUUGGACAAUGGGCGAAAGCCUGAUCCAGCCAUGCCGCGUGUGUGAAGAAGGUCUUCGGAUUGUAAAGCACUUUAAGUUGGGAGGCGUUACCAACAGAAUAAGCACCGGCUAACUUCGUGCCAGCCGCCGCGGUAAUUC